CAGUAGCCGCGGGAAUACGAAGGGGGCUAGCGUUGUUCGGAAUGACUGGGCGUAAAGGGCGCGUAGGCGGAUUGUUUAGUUAGGCGUGAAAUUCCUGGGCUUAACCUGGGGACUGCGCUUAAUACAGGCAGUCUAGAGUGAGGAAGAGGGUUGUGGAAUUCCCAGUGUAGAGGUGAAAUUCGUAGAUAUUGGGAAGAACACCGGCGGCGAAGGCGGCAACCUGGUCCUUGACUGACGCUGAGGCGCGAAAGCGUGGGGAGCAAACAGGAUUAGAUACCCGUGUAGUCCCUGUCUCUUAUAC
rnacentral:rRNA from 1 species